rnacentral:lncRNA from 1 species
CCAGCUCGCCCUAUUAGCAUACCAUGUGCCCAGGAGUAAACAGUUCUAGGUCCUAUGCCAAACAUUGGGAAUAACAAGAUCAAAGAAGCACAGUUCCUGCCCUUGAAGAACUUAGUAGCAAUGGUGAUGAGGAUGCUCAGGAAUUGUGCAAUGGUACAAGUGAUGCAUGAGCACUGAAGAGGGAGCAGAGAAUGUCCCUAACAGUAAUAGCG